rnacentral:misc_RNA from 1 species
UACGUAGGGUGCGAGCGUUAUCCGGAAUCAUUGGGCGUAAAGAGCCCGUAGGCGGUUCAGUAAGUCGGCUGUGAAAGUCCGAGGCUCAACCUCGGAAUUGCAGUCGAUACUGCUGUGACUCGAGUCCGGUAGAGGAGAAUGGAAUUCUCGGUGUAGCGGUGAAAUGCGCAGAUAUCGAGAGGAACACCAGUAGCGAAGGCGGUUCUCUGGGCCGGCACUGACGCUGAGGCACGAAAGCGUGGGUAGCGAACAGG